CGGACGGGUGAGUAAUGUCUGGGAAACUGCCUGAUGGAGGGGGAUAACUGCUGGAAACGGUAACUAAUACCGCAUAACGUCGCAAGACCAAAGAGGGGGACCUUCGGGCCUCUUGCCAUCGGAUGUGCCCAGAUGGGAUUAGCUAGUAGGUGGGGUAACGGCUCACCUAGGCGACGAUCCCUAGCUGGUCUGAGAGGAUGGCCAGCCACACUGGAACUGAGACACGGUCCAG
rnacentral:rRNA from 1 species